GGAUAUAGCUCAGUUGGUAGAGUGCUUGCCCUGCAUGCACAAAGUCCUGGGUUCAAUCCCCAGCACCA
rnacentral:tRNA from 1 species